GUGCCUACCUGCGAGAGCUGCCGGGGGUUGGGGCAGCCGAAGAGCGCGGAGCUGGAGCUGAAGCUGAUGGCCCCUCUGCGGCUGAGGACGUGCUGCGGCACCGGCCUGUCCAGCGGCAGCACCGGCAGCUGAACUGCAGUCCCACGUUGCCUCAUGGAUAGCUGCUAGGACAUAUGGACGCGUGAGAGAGGACACUGGAUCCAACUGCCUUGUCUUAAAAGCCUGCUUCAGCUGUUUUUCUCCCAUCUCGUGAAAUAAAAAUGUCACAAGCAUUCACACUAUGAUUUUAUAAUAUAUGCAUGCAAUAAUUAAAAAUACGUAAUAAGCACAUAAUCACAGUGAAAUAACAGUCAGCCUCUUUUUUUUGUCCCCUGGAAUUAAGAGAUGUCAGGUUUUCUUCCAUGUUCUCUGACAGUUCACUCAUAUUUGGCCUGCUUACGUUAAAUCUGCAAUACAUUGAAGUUACUGAUAGAACUCCACCAGCAUCGCUGGAGUCAGGGUUUCACUCCCCCAUUCAUUUUUCAAAAUUACUUGGUUCUUUCCUACUAAUAACAAAUUAGUUUUCUGUACUCAGCUAGGAUGGAUUUUUACUCCAGUCAAUCUAGAAUUCAAUUUACGAACAAUGUAUCAAGUUUUGUAGGAAAAAUAAGUAUAUUCUUACGUUCACUGAAUAUACAUAAUAUAUAUUUCAAUCCUACAAGGUCAAACUAUAAAUAAAGAUUAUUGAUAAUGUGUUUUAUGGUUCCUAUCAGCUCGACGUACUUUCCAUCUGACUAGUUGAAACUAGUUCUUUAAGGUCGUAUAAGCGCUCAGUCAGAGCCAGUAUAUCCUUAAAUAACAUAAUCAGCAUUUUCUUUUUCCUGGCUAAUAACCAAAUUAUCUUUGAUCUCCAAUUAAUGUUACAUAAACACCUUUAAGGAAUCUGAAAUACAUUCUUAUGAAGUAAGCAUAGAUUUUCCAGGCAGUGGCUGAUUCCGUAAGUGUUCUGCUUUUGGGACGCAAAUUACUAUUUUUAAUAUAGGAGUUAUUAGUAUUAGACAGGUGAUUAUUUCUUGUACAAGUUUAUGAGGAAAAACCUCACCUCAGGAUGAUAGACAAAGCCUUAGAAUUAUGGCGUAAGUCACGUAUUUUCAGCCUAAAUACUCUUCUUAAAAAAAGAUGGCAUGUGUUAUUCCUUAUACCCUGCCUGGUCUGUCUGCUGUCUUGCUGCAAGUUAAGAGCUUGUAGCAUAGGAAAGAGGUUUUUAUUUAUUUUUGUCGUAGACGUGUAGCAACACCAAAGUGUUCAUUCACAGCAUUUUGUUUGAAUUGUUUUCGUUGUGAACCAUGGAGUUCUUUCAGCACCAUGGUGCUGCACUUCUUAAACAAGUCGUACGGCACCAUGAAGUGCCAUGGUUGAGCUACGUACGCCCUGUGUAUUGUGGCUUCUUUAUCAUGGCAGACAGAGCCUUUGAUAGAGACUACACAUCACAAUUUGUUCAAAUUUAGGGGCCAUUAGUAAAGUUUCAAUGAUUCUUCACACAUUUACAGUUAAUGUCUUUCACACAUUGUUAUCGUGUUCAGGGUACUGUCUAGCAAGGAAGAAGCGUUACUGGUGGCCGGAUUUAUCACAAGGAGGGGCGCUCGUGCAACCAAAGAGAUGGAAUAUCACAAAAUUGGAGUUAGUUUACUUUCCUGGUUACGAUGAAAAGAGGAUGAAAUCACACAGGUGCACCAGCAAGACAUUCUACUGGGCUAACCGCACGGCACAGUGCACUGUUUCAGGGCACAGCCAGCUAACGCUGUCGGAGCUGAACAGCCUGAACAGAAGAGGAUGCUUUUCCCACGUUCUGUACAAAACAGGAAAUAAGGAUCCUCAAAGGCAUAACGUGCUUGUAUUUUGAAAGCAGCCUAAGAACAGAGGAAAUAUUUAUUUGUACAGGUACGUGAUGAAGCUAAUUGGUGGGACUGCUCUUCCAUCAAAACCUAUAGCAGUAGAAGGUAAUCCCAUUCAGAUGAAUAGAAGUGAGAAGAUUGAAUAUUUGCAGCAACUCAUGUUUUUCCACCAUGUAGCAUCCUGACAUUUCUUUGUGAAGGAAAGAAUGUGUCAGGGUUAGCUCUACCUUGACUUUCUCUUGAAACUCUGGAUAAACAUCUGUCAUUCUGCCAGUCUUCCCAUUAACUACCUCAGCAAAUGCAGCGAGAAGAUUUCAUUACUUUCAGGAGACUACCUCUGGUUUUAUUUAGGUUUGUUCUUUGCUAGACCUUUUGUUUUUAACAAUAGCAAAAAGGUAGCUGCAAUCCUGUCUGAUUUACAACUCACUAAAUUUCUGUGUGCUUAAUCCAAUUAAAACUGGAAGGAAUGUUGUCAAUAUGUCAAGAAAAAUGCAACAAAGCAAUGGGAGGGUUAGUUUACAGAAAAUCCUGAAUUCCUUUGUCUUGACCAAAUGAAAGAAAAUUGUUCUUGUAAGACAAGUACAUACUAAAAGGAUUAGCUCUGAUAAACUGACUUUUAUGUUCAGAUAAAAGCCAGUCUGAGUACUAGGAGAAUAUUUUUCAAUCAAUUUUUCAAUCAAUCAAUGCAACUUUGCAUUUAAUUAGAGACGAGUCUCUUGGUUAAAAGCUGAGGGGGGGUUUAGUGCACUGAAAUGCAGAGGCUGGGCCUCUUAAUGGUGUGGAGUGCACUGGAGCUGUGGUUUUAAAACACGUCGGUGCUAAGCUAGAUGCUGCCAUGCAGAGGGGCCAUGCCACUCCAUCUCACUCCUCUUGGCUGUUGUCCUCUUGCUCCUACCAGUACUGAUGCUCAGCUCUAGGGUAAGCCAAGAGAGUUUAGGGUGUUAAGCUGGCAGAAAAUGAAUCUUAGCCCCCACCAAAAAAAGUGGGACCAGCCAAACAGCACAGCUGAUAGAAAGUGCAGAUAUAUAACUGGUGAUGGCAGUGCCCCUUCCGGAGUCAGCCCACAGCUGGACGACAUCAUCUGUAUCAUAAAAACUCACCUACAUAGCGUAAAUCAGGAUUAUGUAAGGGAUUACUCUGACACUAUAUAAUCCAAAAAGUGGUUCAUUUUAGAAAAUCUAGUUUUAAAAUCUCAAAUAAAGAUAUUCUUUGGAAUAUAUGUAUAACGUAUAUUGAACUAUGUAACCAAUAUGUGGAAUAUGUAACAUAUACAUGGAAUAUAUAACAUAUGCGUAAUAUGUUUAUGGUACAAGACAGGCAUAGCAGAAUUUGCGGCAAAAAUGUGGGUUAACUGGCAUGAAGUAUUAAUGGUACAAAGCAUAUACUUAAUUUUAUGCAUGUUCUUACAUGCUUUGCUGAGUUGGGAUUAUGGAGAACACCCCGUAGUCAUGUGUCAGAACAACAGUUAAAUCUACAUAAAUCAAUACCAUGUCAGCAUUUUUCUAGAUUAAAUUACAUGACUAGAAGUUUGUAGAAUACUUUUUUCAAGGAUAGGCCUAAUAAGCAAGUUUUAUAAUAUUUAAUCUCACCUUGGACUCUGAAUUUUUGUUAAUUCUUUACCAAGCAAUUUCAUUCUAAAGUGUAAAAAAUAUUAAUAAAUAUUGCAAAUUGUUCAAAACCUGCAAGACAGCAUGUUUUAUAGAUUACCUAAAAUCAGGGAAAACCAUGACAUCUGCUCAGUUUUAUGCAGGCUUUACUUAUACACUCAAUUAAUGAUUACACAAAAUAAGUAGAAAAAACAUAUUCUGCAGUACCUCUAAUUUGUCUAAAAAGACCAAAAGAGUGUACAGCUUCUAAAGAAAGACCCUGAUACUUUACUGCAGAGCACAAAGAUUUGAGAACCAGUAGGCCCCAACAGCUUAAGUUGGUGAAAGAUUGGUUAUGUUGCUGCUGAUCUUGAAUGGAUGAUCUGUGGGCAAGCUACACAUCGUUGCACCUGUAGCCAAGAUAAUAAAUUCCCAGAUAAUGGGAGAAUUGACUUUAAUUUGUUAGAAAUCAGAACUAAUACUAAUACUAAUACACUGCAAGUCAGUACCAUUUGCAUUACAAGUGACUGUUUUAUUGCAACAUAUGGAAAAAAAUAUACACCAUGAAGCUAUGCUCCCAAACAACAUAGGAAUUAAAAGUGUAAUGGCUUUGUAAUUCAAUUUUCAGAUAUAUUUUUGUUUACUUGUUACUUUAUCACAUCUAUAUGCAUGAAUGUCCAUUUGCAGAAACAGUUGAUGAAAUCAAUCUUUCUAAACAUCACUUGGAAAAAAUGAAGAGUUGUUCAUCGUGCAAACUUAUUUAUAAUUGCCAAUUAAUGAAAUGUAGGAACAAAUAUUGUU